UGAUGCGGUCAUACCAAGGCUACUACACCAGAUCCCAUCAGAACUCUGAAGUUAAGCGCCUUUGGGCCGGAAUAGUACUGGGAUGGGUGACCUCC
rnacentral:rRNA from 1 species